CCACCGAGUAGGUGCCAAGGAAUCAGUAGUCCGCAGCGGCCAUCAACGCCCAGGUACCGUGUGCCGCAACACCUGCCUGGCCGGCCCCGCGCCUGGGGCGGGGCUUCCCGCGUCCCCUUUAAGAGGCCGCAUCACCCGCCCUGACGUCAGGGUGUCUCUCCGCACGAGCCCGCAUCCCGCUCCGCUCCGCGCCCACAGCCCCGGCGGCUGCACGACGAGCGGCGGCCUGGCGACGGUGCCGCCCCGCUGGGUCCACCGGUCCCUCUCCAUCGCCGUCUCAUUUCCGCACCCGCAGUUGCCCCGCCGGCGCGACCUCUUGCACCAUGUCGGUGGCCGGGCUUAAGAAGCAAUUCCACAAAGCCACUCAGGUAAGGCGCGUGACAGGUGCGUCGAGGA
rnacentral:lncRNA from 1 species